rnacentral:rRNA from 1 species
CCUACGGGUGGCAGCAGUGGGGAAUAUUGGACAAUGGGGGGAACCCUGAUCCAGCCAUGCCGCGUGUGUGAAGAAGGCCCUCGGGUUGUAAAGCACUUUCAGUGAGGAAGAACGCCUGGUGGUUAAUACCCAUCAGGAAAGACAUCACUCACAGAAGAAGCACCGGCUAACUCCGUGCCAGCAGCCGCGGUAAUACGGAGGGUGCGAGCGUUAAUCGGAAUUACUGGGUGUAAAGCGCGCGUAGGUGGCUUGAUAAGCCGGUUGUGAAAGCCCCGGGCUCAACCUGGGAACGGCAUCCGGAACUGUCAAGCUAGAGUGCAGGAGAGGAAGGUAGAAUUCCCGGUGUAGCGGUGAAAUGCGUAGAGAUCGGGAGGAAUACCAGUGGCGAAGGCGGCCUUCUGGACUGACACUGACACUGAGGUGCGAAAGCGUGGGUAGCAAACAGGAUUAGAUACCCCUGUAGUC